rnacentral:rRNA from 1 species
AGCGAACGCUGGCGGCAGGCCUAACACAUGCAAGUCGAACGAACCUUUCGGGGUUAGUGGCGGACGGGCGAGUAACACGUGGGAACGUGCCCUUAGGUUCGGAAUAACUCAGGGAAACUUGUGCUAAUACCGAAUGUGCCCUUCGGGGGAAAGAUUUAUCGCCUUUAGAGCGGCCCGCGUCUGAUUAGCUAGUUGGGUGAGGUAAUGGCUCACCAAGGCGACGAUGAGUAGCUGGUCUGCGACGAUGAUCAGCCACAUUGGAACUGAGACACGGCCCAAACUCCUACGGGAGGCAGCAGUGGGGAAUCUUGCGCAAUGGGCGAAAGCCUGACGCAGCCAUGCCGCGUGAAUGAUGAAGGUCUUAGGAUUGUAAAAUUCUUUCACCGGAGACGAUAAUGACGGUACCCGGAGAAGAAGCCCCGGCUAACUUCGUG